UACAGAAAUUUCUAAAGCUCUUAAAGACUAACCAUGGAAGCUAUAACCUGGAGUGGCUGAGAUAUCUCUCGCCGUACAAUGCUCAAAAAUUCUUAGGAGGUAUACAUGGGAUUGGCGAAAAAAGUGUGGGCUGCAUUCGCCUUCUCACCUUAGGGCACCGUGCAUUUCCAGUCGAUGUCAAUGUGUGUCGCCUAGCCGUCAGGCUAGGCUGGGUGGAACUUCAAAUGCCGUGUUCACAUCUUGAGGAGGACAUUUUCCAUUUAGU